AACGAACGCUGGCGGCAUGCCUAACACAUGCAAGUCGAGCGCUCCGCAACGGGAGCUGCAGGCGGACGAGUAACGCGUGCGUACGUACCUUUUCGUUCGGUCCAAAUACCAGAUACUGGCGCUUAUUCCUGCUGAGCCCUAUCGCGGAAAGAUUUAUCUCCGAACGAUCGGUCCGCGUCGGAUUAGGUAGGUGGUGGGGUAAAGGCUCACCAAGGCGACGAUCAGUAGCUGGUCUGAGAGGAUGAUCAGCCACACUGGGACUGAGACACGGCCCAGACUCCUACGGGAGGCAGCAGUGGGGAAUAUUGGACAAUGGGCGCAAGCCUGAUCCAGCAAUGCCGCGUGAGUGAUGAAGGCCUUAGGGUUGUAAAGCUCUUUUGUCCGGGAAGAUAAUGACUGUACCGGAAGAAUAAGCCCCGGCUAACUCCGUG
rnacentral:rRNA from 1 species